CGUUAUAAGAAAAGGUGGUAGAUUCUCUUUCAAAACAAAAUUAUAGUGGUGGUUGAUCAUUUCGGGUCACAAACCACGAAAAUAGUCGUAGCUUUCACACCUUACCCGUUAAAUGGAAAGGUUUAGUGGGGUCGAGCAACUUGUGCGUACGGGCCACUGCUUGCCUAUGUACGUUCUACAAGCAUAACCAGACAGUGCGACCAUUAGAAAUGACAGAGUAUCAGUGUGUUAUUCAUAUAUAUAUUAUUUCGUUCGAAUAAAAUCGAAUAUUCAUUUACUAUUGUACAUUCAAUUUUCGAUUUGGUGUCCGUAUUUUAUCAUCUCCUCUCACACAACACUAAUUUUGAAGUCACCUCAUCAACCGAUGCCAUUAAUCUUUACUAUUCAUUAAAUUGUGUUACCUUAAGGAAGUAAACACAAUUUUCCCAGUGCCAGAUUUAAAAAUUUCUGAGCAGCAAUUUCCGUAUAUUCAACAAAGUAUAUAGUAUGUGACUGAGUACAUUUUUAGUAUGUAAUUUAUAAACUUUCAUCGAUUUAUGUAAUUCCUUUUAGAUGAGUUGGAUCCUUAUACUUAAAACUAUCAAUUUAAUUUUAAGACUUCAUAUUAUUUAAAUAGUUUUUUUAAAUGUUCACAGUAUUGUGAAAACCACGACCAGUACCAAGAAAUAUGGUGUGUCGAUAACCAGGACAUAUUGAAUAAGAAAGGUAAAUUUGCCAGAGAUUAUUCAAUAGGAUUCAUUGCGAGGGAUAUAGAUUUAGUCGAUCGUGAUAAUAAAUGUGAAUGUGAUAAUAAGUACGUAACGUUUUAUAUGUUAUUAGAUGGAUAUAAUAAUGCAAAUGAUCCACUAACUUGCCAAGCAUUCAAUUAGCCUAUUUAGUCUAAUAAAUACUUGAAUUAAUUGUUAUUGCCAAAUGCUGUAAUUAGGCACAAAAUAUGUACUAUUAAUUAAUAAAUUGUGUCUUCUAUUAAUUA